GCUUACGGCCAUACCACCCUGAGAACGCCCGAUCUCGUCCGAUCUCGGAAGCUAAGCAGGGUCGGGCUCCUGGUUAGUACUUGGAUGGGAGACCCGCCUGGGAAUACCAGGUGCUGUAAGCU
rnacentral:rRNA from 1 species